UUACCGGGGGCGCGAGCGGCAUCGGCAAGGCGACGGCCGCCGAGUUCGUCAGGAACGGCGCGAAGGUCGUCAUCGCCGACGUCCAGGACGAACUCGGUCACGCCGUCGCCGCGGAGCUCGGCCCGGACGCGGCGAGCUACACCCGCUGCGAUGUCACCGACGAGGCGCAGGUCGCCGCGGCUGUGGACCUCGCGGUGGCCCGCCACGGCCAGCUCGACGUCAUGUUCAACAACGCCGGCAUCGGGGGGAACCACGGGCCACCACCGCCGCUCGACGCCGUGGACCUCGCCGAAUUCGACCAGGUGAUGGCGACCAACGCCCGGGGCGUUCUGGCCGGGCUCAAGCACGCCGCACGCGUCAUGGUCCCGCGUCGCCGCGGCAGCAUCAUCUGCACUGCGAGCACCACCAGCUUGGUGGGCGGCAUCGCGGCCCCCGCGUACGGCGCGUCGAAGGCGGCGGUGGCCGGGCUGGUGCGCACCGUGGCGGUGGAGCUGGCGCGCUCCGGGGUGCGCGUCAACGCCAUCUCUCCUCACAUCAUCCCGACGCCGCUGGUCAUGGAACCCCUCGCCUUGUUGUUGCCCGGGAAGAGCGCCGAGGAGCUCAGGCGGCUCGUUGAGGUGGGCAUGAACGUGACGGUCGGGGGGACGGUGCUGGAGGUGGACGACGUCGCGAGGGCGGCGGUGUACCUGGCGUCCGACGAAUCCAAGUACGUGAACGGGCACAACCUCGUCGUCGACGGCGGUUUCACGGUGAGCAGAAGCCUCGAAAAUGCCGGCGGCAGCACGACGAGGGAGUGAAGGGAGAGCCGGCAGAUUUCGUGGGCUCUUCACGGAAUAAAAACUGCGUUCUUGACUUCCUGUGCACAAGAACAGCUCAGUGUUGAGCAACGCUGUGAUCGACGGAGUAUGUUGUUUCUUUUCCUGAUAUCUUUCACCAUACAACCAAUUGGCGGAGUUAUAAAACGAGAAAACCAUCUCGCCCCCGCGUCUGCCCCGCUGGCGGCACGGGUGUGGCUCCCUUGACGGGCCGCUAGCAGGCCCGGCCCGCAACUCCCCAGUUCGCCUUCGUCCUGUCCUGCCCAAGCAGGCGGCUACGAUGAAGGCAGCUGUGGGUAGGCCUGGUAACGGACCUUGUAUACCCAAGGGCCGUAAGGGCCUCCAAACUCAUGGUCUGUGAUUUACGGAUCCUAUAUGGGCUCUUGUAGAAAAGGGCCGAAUCAAAUCGGAUUGUUUGUUAAAGGGCUGGAUUAUAGCUGUGGCUUGAGCCCAAUGUGUGGAUGGUGAGUGAUAGGGCUGGCCCGCAGAUCAGAUAUGAUAGGUACCUGCUAGGGUUGAUUUCGGAUCUUUUGAUGAGAGAGGCGUGGGAUAACUCGAUUGGUCGAUGGAGGCGACGUUCACGGUCCAACUAUAGCCUUCCAAGCUGCGCCUUAGCAACCGAUACACCACCUCCAAUGGCUGCCGCGAGCUUGUGGAGCGCGUCACCUGGCCAUUAGGGCACUCGUCCUGCAAGCAAUCGAAGAACUAGGAAAAACAAGUAUAACAAGUACUAAAUUUACUAGAUGAAGAUGAAGGUUUCAAAUUCAAUCUCAAAUAAGGUGCGGUUUUGAAGACAACAAGACGGGCGGUUGAUCCAGCACGCGCGCUUAUAAGUAGUAGCGAGAGUUAAACUUGAUCUAAACAAAACCUAACUGUUCUUGAUGACGGCUAAGGGGUAUAUGAAGGUGGGAGGAUGACCACCAGGGUGUUGGGGUUGUGCUCUAUAACAUCCGCAGAAAUCACCAAUUAAAAUCAUCCGUUAAAAAUCGUUUUCAAAAUCUUUUUACCGCUGAGCUCCCGGAUAUCGAAAACUUUCCCAGCGAUUUCGCCGUCCCGGCACCUAAGCCGACAGCCAUCAUCUUUACCCGUGCCCGUAAAUCUCGCCGUGUGCCGUCGUCAGACCGCCGCGCGCGUGCUCCGACCGCGUGCCGCAAUGGCCGCCGGUUCCCCCUCUUUCUUUCUCUGUUUCCUCCCUCUUUCUUUCUUUUUCCUAUUCCUUCUCCUUUCUUUUUCUUCUUCCUCCUCCUCCUUCUCUCUCCUCCUCUCUUCUUCUUCCUAGCGCCUCCCCACCGGCGCAUUUACUCCUCCCGGCGCCCACGUCUCCCUGGCGCCACGCCGCCCGCCCGCCUCGGGCCGCGCCCCUCCGCAUCGCCCGACCCCGCCGACCCCGCCUCCGGCCCCGCUCCGCGCCGCCCGACCCCUCCCGCGCCCCUCCUGCGCCGGCCCAACCUCCGUCCCCGUUCCACGCCGCCCGCCGUCGGCCCCUACCUCUCUUCCGGUGCCGCCCGCCGCACGCCACCGUUGCCGUGCCGCCCUCCCCGUGACACCCACCUCCGACGCCCGAGCCCCUACCGCCGGCCCGGCCUGCCCGGCCCCCACCCCCACGCCGCACACCGUCGGUCGCCCGGUCCCCCACCGCCGGCCGCCCCUCGCCGGCCUAUAAAAAAGGGCCGCUCGCCCGGCCUCCCUUGCCACUCCACCACCACCCAGCUCACCACCCCAACCUACACCACUCGCCAAGCACCGCCGCCACCAGUACCUCCGCCGCCCGAGCGUCAACCGUCGCCGCCUCCACCGAACCACCGCCGGCCGCCCCUUCCCUAUCCGAAGCUCCAAGGUAUCGGGCAAAAUGGAGCCCCCACGGCCUCCUCUAGCCUCUCCCGCCGCCUCCCCUCGCCGCCGGCGAGCCUAGGCCGCCGCCCCCAGGCCGGCCGUGCCUCCCUCUCCCUCUCCCCUGUGCACUAUGCGCCCAAGGGGAAGAAGAAGGUCCCAAUUCCGAUCUAACCCCAACAAAUCCAUUAUUCACGAAACAGUCGUUCCACCACUCUCAUAAACCUAUUCACGGAUAAGCCCCUCCACCUCCAAAAUUAUUUACAAAUAGGUCCCUAGUUUAGUACAAAACAGUCCUAAACCUCCUAUUUAAGCCCUAAUUCAUGUUUAACCCGUCAUUUCAUGCGCCAAACUCCCUCGAAUUAAUCCUAAAUUUCACCACUUCAUCCUCCAGAAUACUUUCGCCGAUCCAUAUCCAAAUUUCCCAAAAAUAAUGUUUCUACCUACUUUCCGUUCACAUUUUCUGUUCGGAGCUCACGGUUAAAAACCGAUUUUCUUUUAUUUAUUUGUGUGCCCGUUUGUGUGUGCCGUUGAUCGCAGAUUGCCCGAGGAGGAUCCCGAGGAGGAGUUUGACCGCGAGCCCGAGCUCGAGGACCAGCAGCACGAGCCGGAACUCCCGGAAGGCUUUGAAGACGGCAAGUCCAAUCUCACCCUUUGAUGCAUAUUUAACACCUAGUUUUUCAAACACAACCUAUUGGCCUGUUUUACAAAAUGCAUAUUAUUUCAUCGCAAGACCUGGUUGGAUAGCCACCCCUUGAUUGUUAUGAACAUUCCUUAUUAUCCUAUGGUUGUCUCUAAAUAUGAUUCGCUCUAUUUGGUCGAUAGCCACUGCUAGAAUGCUUAGGAAAUUACUACUCCAAUACAAUCACCACUACAAUGAUGUUUUUGGAAAAUAAGCGUGUGUGUGUGUGUGUGUGCAAAUGAGGAAAAUGACUUUCUAGGUUCAGAGGAAAAAGGAUGUGUAGACAGGAUGGAUGGGUAUUCCUUGUGUGGGAUGCUAGGAUGUUGUGCUCGUACCUUAGUGGUUGAGCAAUGUCGGGAGAUAUCCAUCUUGUCAUGGUUAAGGACCGAGUUGAUGUGUCAUCUUGCCUAAUUCCACCAUCGUGCAACCACUCGACCGUUGUAUGGGCAACGCCUUAGCAUAAAUCCCACUAGCUGAACUGUUAGUCUUCAGGGGUGCUGGUGAGCAACGGGAGCCCAUGGAAAAGGAAUAAGAUCUUGGUGACUUAGGUCCCGGUUACGGUCUCGUGGAUGAGCCGUGAACCCCUUGGGUGCUUCCGUGAGGGCUAGCCAGUCUUAGCUAAGGUGGGUAAUGGCUUUGUUAGGAUCCGCACCGGCACUAAGGUGAUCGUGCCGCGGUACCCUACUUGUGGGAAAAGUGUACAACCUCUACAGAGUUAAAACCUAUCCGAGUAGCCGUGUCCACGGCAUUGGACGAGUUACGGCUUGGUCACAUAACUAGCACUUGGGCAUGGAUGGUGUGUGGGUGUGUGUGUGUGUGUGUGUGAGUUGAAUUUUGGAAGAGUCCGGCAGUUGUGCCGUGCGCUAUGGCGGACGGGGAGUCCGAUAGCGAUAAAAACUUGGAUCCUUUGUGUAGGAUCAACCCCACUCCUUGUUUCGGGUACCAAAGGAAAAGCUUUAUGAAAACUUGUUUGAAAACGAGCCUAUGCAUGUGUUGAAAAAUCUAGCUUUAUUGCAAAUAAACCCUAGCCUAUCCUUAUUAUAUCCUGUGCAUAUACUUGCUUGUAUCCCCCUCCGUGGAUGGGGUUGGACUUGUUGAGUACGUUCGUACUCACCCUUGCUUCGUUACUACAGAGGAAGACCCUGACUUCAUCGCUGAAGACCUUGAGUAGAGGUUGUGUCCGCACCCGACGCUGCCUGUGGUGUUGGCCUUUCCAAGAUGCUGCUGCUGCCGUGUAGUCCCGAGUGCUGUCUUUUGGCAGUCGCUUGGUUAGCCGCUGUUGUUUAUUUACUUCUUAUCGCUGCGUGGCUCUCACGCCCACUUCCUCGGGAGUUGUACGGUAACUGAAUUAUCUGUCGAAUAAAUGUGCUAUCAGCCUCCUGGGACUGAUAUUUGUAUCACAUUUAGUAUCUACUUAUGUGAGGACGCUUCAGGUGGUAUCAGAGCUGUCAUUGGCUGUAGGACGCGACCUUAUGACCGGAUUAGCCCUUUUUGAUGAAAAUAAAAGAUUUAUAAAAUUUCUGCCUACCUCUGCUCUAUUGCAAAACUAAUUUGUGCCCCGGAUCUUUUCCAGAUGGCCAAGGAAGGAUGGGUCAACAGCCACUGCCUGGAGGAGCCUAGCUUUCCCAGAUUGUUGUUCGCCUGCAUGGACCGCCUUGGAAUUUAUGAGCGUCCGGAGUACACCAGCAGGGAGUACGAGGACCGCGGGACCCCUCGGUGUGAGAUGAUUAUCUACAUCGGGCGGAGUAGCCGCUACGCCGACAUCCAGCCAUGGAAUGUGACUGCCACCGGCUUUCGGCACAAGGAUACUUAUCAAGUGGCAGCCCAGAAAGCCCUCCGUUUCCUGUGCCAGAUCUAUGAGAGGCACAUUGGCUGCACUCCGAUGAGGUUCUACCCGCCUGUCAAGAAGAACCGCCCGGUUUGGCUGGCCCGGGUAAGGACUUUGGAAGGACGUGGACAGCGCGAGGAUGACUCCACCGUGCUGCACAUGGCUGCCUACCCUCUCACCUUGGACGAGCUCUAUGACGAGCAGGCUGCUAAGUUGAAGCAGCAGACUCGUAGGGCCGAGGACGCAGAGGUUAUGGUGAGGAGGCUUCAGGUGAAGUUAGCUGCCGCCGAAGCUCGAGCCGCAGCCGCCCAAAGCAACGAGGCCAUUGCCGUUGAGGCUCUCAAGGAGGCUGAGGAUCGGCACUCCAAGGAACUGAAGGAUGCCCACCUCACCAUUCGUGCCAGGAGUAGGAUGGUGGCCAUCGAGGACGAAGAGGCCCCGAUCCUUGAAGGAAUUCCCAUUGCCCCAGGGUCCAGUAAGCGGAAGAGCCCAGAUGCCACCCCAGCGCCACCGUCCUCGGAAAGGAACUCCGAGGUGUCAGAUGGAGAGGCACCCGGGACCCCUCCAGCGGGCGGGACUCUAAAAGAUGAGGUGCUGGCCCUCCUCAUCCCGUUAGAAGACCACUCAGCCCAGGGAGAAGACUCACCCCGCGAGUAGUAUGCCCAGCCCAGAGUUGCCCAAGGAAUGAAGUCGACAUGGUCCGCAGUUUAGAGUCGUACCCCCUCCAGUUGUGUUGCUGUAACCGGUCGUGUAGUACGUGUUUUGGCCUUACCCCAGAAGUGUUGUAGCCCCCCCCAAAAUAAAUAAAAUCGCUUGUGUUUGUUGCUUGUUAGUCUGUGUGUUUGUCGACAGGAGGUGGAUUCUGUCUCUUCGAAAAUACGAAAUAACCACUUUAAAGAUCACUAAAAUCCAAAUCCCACUCUCAUAAAGUCUCACUCAAUCCGCAGAUGCCGCCCAAGCGUGCCACCAGGACUUCCCCAAGUCAGGGACAUGCCACCCCCAGUGCAGAGAGGUAGCCAGAAAGGCAAGCACCGCCUCUGGUAGUACUCCUGGAGGAACAGGAAGUGAGCCAGCCAGAAGGAAGGGGAGAAAGCCAAGUGGGAACACAGCAGCCACCACCCCCACCAGUUAUUGAUCUGGUUCAAGUGAUGAACAACCAGACCCUUCUACUGGAAGCUCUGGCCAACGCUGUUACCCGUCAGAGGCCCCACGGGCAUAACAUGAAUGAGAAGCUGACGGACUUCCUCCGGACCAAGCCACCCACUUUUGGCGGGUCCGUCAACCCUCUGGACGCGGAUGACUGGCUGCGCGUCAUCCAGAGGAAGCUGGAGCCAUUUGGUUGUGAGGGCAGGGACAAAGUUCUCUUGGCUGCCCACCAGCUCACUGGGACUGCCCUAGCAUGGUGGGAGAACUACUGCUCUGCCACCCAGGAUGCCUCCACUAUCACCUGGGAUGAGUUCAUGACGGAAUUCCGUCGCUACCAUAUCCCCGCAGCCACCAUGAAGCGCAAGGCGGACGAGUUCCAUGAACUCCGCCAAGGCAACAGGUCCGUGGAAGAGUACACCUUCCAGUUCAUGGAGUUGGCCCGUUAUGCUCCAGAGGAGGUGGACAAGGAUGAGAAGAAGCAGGACAUGUUCAAGAAAGGCUUGAACACGGAACUGAGGACCCUGCUCACUCCCUAGAUCUACCCCGACUUCAACACCUUGAUGAACAUAGCCAUCUUGACUGAGAGGGCCAAGGCAGAAGAGCGGAGGGACAACAAGCGUCGGUUCCUGGAGAACAAGACGCACCAGCAGGACCGAUUCCAGAGGCCAAGGAGCUUCGGACACCCCUUGCCCAGAUCCCAAGCUCCCAUGCAUUAUCGGACCCAGUCCCAAGCACCCGGUUCGCACUAGACCGCUGCCCCGUUCAGGAGCCAGAACCCUGCCAAGGCCCCACAGAGCGGCGCCAGCCAAGUCACUGGCAACGGUAGGGCAUGCUUCAACUGCAGAGAGCCAGGGCAUUUCAUCGCCAACUGCCCCUAUGCCAGCAAGCCAGCAGCAUCAGCCUUCUCCAACUCAGUAGCCGGGCCCAAGGCCGCAUUGUCAGGAGCCAACCGUGUGCUAGUCCGCAGCAACAACAACCCCAGCAACAACAACAGCCAGCAGAUGAGGCUGCCCCAGCAAUCAUUCGGACAAGCCCGCGUCAACCACAUCGAUGCGCAGGAGGCUCGCGAAGCUCAGGGCGUGGUACUCGGUGAGUUUCUAGUCAGCUCAGUCUUGGCAACAGUACUUUUUGAUUCUGGAGCAUCACAUUCCUUCAUAUCCUCAAGUUUUGUGGAAGAACACCAUAUACCUACAGUACUACUAAAGUUACCCCUAUUAACCCGGACUCCUGGAGCCGACAUUCAGUGUCGACUAGGUUGUUCUCGGGUAAGGAUCAAUUUAAGUGGGGUAGAAUUUCUAGCGGAUCUAGUAGUACUUAAGUCUAAGGGGAUAGAUGUGAUUCUUGGAAUGGACUGGUUGAGCCUGCAUGACGGUCAUAUAGGGUGUGCUGAUAAGGUAGUACACCUGACCAAUCGGGAUGGUGUGCAAGUGACCUGCCACACCCGAGGAAGUGGUCCAGACCCCAUGGUGUUUAGCAUGGAGACCAAGACCAUAGAAGAAGUCCCGGUAGUGAGUGAAUACCCGGACAUCUUUCCCGAGGAACUACCUGGAAUGCCCCCAGAUAGGGACAUAGAAUUCGUAAUUGACCUUGUCCCUGGAACCUCCCCUAUAGCCAAGAGACCCUAUAGGAUGGCAGCCUCAGAGUUAGCCGAACUGAAGAAACAGUUGGGAAAAUUGCAGCAGAGUGGCUUUAUCAGGCCCAGCUCAUCCCCGUGGGGAGCCCCCGUACUUUUUGUCAAGAAGAAAGACAGGAGUAUGAGGAUGUGCGUAGAUUAUCGCGCACUAAAUGAAGUCACCAUUAAGAACAAGUACCUUCUCCCCAGGAUAGAUGACCUAUUCGACCAGCUAAAAGGAGCCAAGUAUUUCUCCAAGAUAGAUCUAAGAUCAGGGUACCAUCAGCUCAAGAUCAAGGAGAGCGACAUCCCGAAGACGGCCUUUGUCACCCGUUAUGGUCAAUUUGAGUUUACAGUGAUGUCCUUUGGAUUGACCAAUGCACCUGCUUAUUUUAUGAACCUCAUGAACAAGGUGUUUAUGGACGAGUUAGAUAAGUUUGUCGUAGUCUUUAUUGAUGACAUACUUAUUUACUCCAAGAGUGUUCAGGAGCAUGAACAACACAUACGGGUGGUGUUAGAAAAAUUGAGAGCCCACCGACUCUAUGCUAAAUUCAGCAAGUGCGAAUUUUGGCUUGAGAAAGUGGCAUUCCUUGGUCAUAUCUUGACCGCGGAAGGAGUAGCAGUUGAUCCUGAGAAGGUUGAGGCCGUCUCCAACUGGCAGCAACCCACCAAUGUUAGUGAGAUCAGGAGUUUUCUGGGUUUAGCUGGGUAUUAUCGGAGGUUUAUCGAGGGAUUCUCCAAGAUAGCCCGGCCCAUGACAGAGUUGCUCAGGAAGGAUAAGAAGUUCACCUGGACCGAGUCAUGUGAGCGGAGCUUCCAAGAGCUGAAGAAGAGAUUGACGACAGCCCCAGUAUUAACCUUACCAGAUAUCCAGCGGGACUUCGUCAUCUACUGCGAUGCAUCCCGACAAGGAUUAGGAUGUGUCCUCAUGCAGGAUGGGAAGGUUGUGGCAUAUGCUUCCGACAACUUAAGCCCCAUGAGCAGAACUACCCAACCCAUGACUUAGAGUUUGCAGCCGUAGUGCAUGCCCUCAAGAUCUGGAGACAUUAUCUGAUUCGGAAUAAGUGUGAAAUCUACACCGACAAUAAGAGCCUAAAAUACAUUUUCACCCAGCCCGAUCUGAAUUUAAGGCAAAGGAGGUGGUUAGAACUGGUAAAGGAAUACAACCUAGAAAUCCAUUACCACCCCGGCAAAGCUAAUGUUGUAGCUGAUGCCUUAAGCAGAAAAUCCUAUGGACAAACCGGACCCGAGAAUGCCCGUCUACAAGAGGAAAUGGCCCAGUUGAAUGUGCACAUCAUUCCCCAGAAUUCUAGCCGCAAGCUAAGUGUCCAGCCCACCUUGGAGGAUAAAAUCCGAGAAGCCCAGGGUUCAGACCAAGACUUAGUGAAAAUCCGCAAGCAAACCGGAGAAAAUAAAGCCCCGGAUUUCAGGGGAACCUUGUGGUACAAGGACAGAAUUUGUGUUCCCAAGGACGGAGAGUUCAGGCAGACCAUCAUGGAUGAAGCCCAUAACUCGGCAUACUCCAUUCACCCCGGAUCCACCAAAAUGUAUAUGGACUUAAAGCAGAGAUACUGGUGGAAUGGAAUGAAGGCGGACAUAGCCCAUUUUGUCGCCCAUUUUGAUACUUGCCAAAGGGUCAAGGCCGAGCACCAGAAGCCAGCCGACUUGCUGCAACCCUUGCCUAUCCCGGUUUGGAAGUGGGAUGAGAUUGGCAUGGAUUUUGUGGUAGGCUUGCCCAGGACUCAGAAGGGAAAUGACUCCAUAUGGGUAAUAGUGGACCGACUCACCAAGGUCGCUCACUACCUACCCGUAUGGACCACAUACGGUGGAGAAAGACUAGCUCGACUCUACGUCGACAAUAUAGUGAAGCUACACGGUGUGCCCAGCCAAAUCGUCUCGGAUAGAGGAACUCAGUUCACCUCUAGAUUUUGGAGGAGUUUGCAUAAAGCCAUGGGUACCAAAUUGGAUUUUAGUUCAGCUUAUCACCCCCAGACCGAUGGCCAAACAGAGAGGGUAAAUCAAAUUAUGGAAGAUAUGUUGAGAGCGUGUGUCCUAACCUAUGGCAAGGAUUGGGAACAAAGUUUACCCUAUGCAGAGUUCUCAUACAACAAUAGCUAUCAAGCCAGCCUAGGCAUGUCACCAUUUGAGGCCCUUUAUGAUAGAAAGUGUCGGACCCCUUUGAUGUGGUCAGAAGUGGGAGAAUGCUCCCUAGUCGGACCAGCUUUCAUCAAGACUAGUCUCAUGUCGUGCUGUAUACAUAUACUAGGUCCUCAAGAGUAGUAGUUUUGAUUUCCUAGGUUCAUGUAUUUCAGUCGACCUUAACUCCAGCAACAUUGCUAUAUAUGAUUUCUUUUAGUAAUGUGACAUAGAUUUAAGAAAAAGAGAAGAAAGUGGAUCUUCUUGGUGAAAUCAUAUCCAUCAUUUGAUUUACUAGUUCAUCGUGCUCGCGCACGGGCUAAUAUUUUUAAAAGUUAUUGUAUUUAAAAAUUAUUUAGAAAUUAAAAUUCUGGAUAAUAAUCAAAAUUGUUUACCUACUACUCUCUCAAUUUUUAAAUACUUCAACAUAAUACUUAUAUAGAUGCGUAAGUUGUGAUUGAUUUUUAAUUAGUAAUUAAGCUAUACAUUUUUUUCAUUCACAUUCACACUUUUUUUAUUUUGUAUUGCACCUCCAUACAUGGCGUUUAGCAUGAAAAUCAAUAUUUUUCAUCACUUCCUCCUAUACAUGUAUAAAUGGUCUACAUGGUGACAUUCAUCAUGUGUAUAUACCUUAGCUUAGUAUUUAUUUAUUAACAAUGAUAUAAAUAGGUAAUUUAGAAUCAUAUAUUACUUUACUUUUGAAUAUUUGUAUAUGAUGCACAUGAAGGUAAUUAAAUUAAGAUUUAGAUAUUUACUUUAGGUUAUUUUUAAUAACGACAUACGUGGGUAACUUAGAUACAAAUUUAGAAUGACAUUUUAAGUUAUGCUUUAUAAUGAUAUGCAUGAAUAAAUUGGAUGAAGAUUAUGGAAUUACUUUAGACUUUUUUUAUAAUGACAGAGCUUCGUAAUUUAGAUAUAGGUUUAGAGUUUAUUUUAGAAUAUUUUCAAAAUGAUACUGGUGAGUAACUUUUUAGAAAAUAUAAUAGACCAAUGACUAUGAUUAUUAGAGUUUACAUGAUUGAUGUUUGGUGUUUCUGAUUUUCAUGAGAAUUUUUAGAAUUUAUAUUUUUUUUCUAGCGUGUCUUAUGAGAUUUAAUGUGGAGUGUCCAAUGGAAAACAAAUGAGGCCACAUUGCUACAAAACUAUUACCUUAAGCUACAUCUCAUUUGUUAAAUAUUUAAACACAAUACUCAUAUAGAUAUAUACUUAUUAUCUUCAUCUAAUUGUGAUAGAUUUUAGUUAGUAAUUAGUCUAUAAUAUUUUCAUCCACAUUUAUAAUCUUCAACUUUUAACUUUGCAUUGCAGGUUGCAUUUUAAUUUAUUUAAUGGAUCCAAGUUUGAGCUAUAAUUUUAACAUAGAAAUCAAUAUUCUCAUCACUUCCUCUAUAUCUUUAUAAAUGGUGACGCACAUUUUAUACCUUAAUUAUUAUAUCAUAUACCAAUAGUGUAGGAAAUAGACGAUUUAGAACCGUAUAUUAGUGUAUAUUUUAACUAAUGUGAUUUGCAUUCAAAUGUAUGGUUACCUCAUGUUAUUUUUAAUAAUGACAUAUAUACGUGGUCAAUAUAGAUGCAAAUUUAAGGGGUUACUUUAAGUUAUUUUUUGAGUAUUAGUGGUCAGUAAUUUAGUUACAAAUUUAGUGGAUUAUUUUAAAUAUUAUUUAUAAUGGCAUAAGUGGGUUUGAUGAAGAUCAGGAUGUUACUCAAGUUUAUUUUAUAUAAUGGUAGAUGUGGGUAAUUUAGAUACAGAUUUAGAGGGUUAGGUGGGUAAUUUUUUAGAAAACAUAAUAGAUCCUAUGAUGAUUUGAGUUCCAGAUUGAUGGCCAGAUGUUUUGCUUCUUUGUGUGAAUUUUUAGGAUUUCUCUCUUUUUCUAGAGUGUCCACCUAAGAUCCUAGGUGGCUUCACCUGGAGAUCUCAGAAGGAGUCUCCAAUUAGUAAUAGUAAGAUUAUGAUAGAGACAACUUAUGUAAUAAUUAGUUGACUUAGGAUGAACAAUACCAUAAUAUUACCCAUUUUGGCGAGCUGUAUCAAAUUGUAUUUCUGUGAUUUGGAAACUUUGAUGUAUAGGAAGUAGACUCGGAGAAAAGGGGAUUUUGGGAUUUGAGGUUAGAGGGAGUAUUUUUCCAUAGUACAAUCUUAUUCUUUAGCAAAAUCAAGACCAUUUUCUAGCGGCAACCAGGACGUCCAGAUUAGACAGGCGGUGGUAGGUCGUGCAGUAGUGUCGUGAAGUGACAAUUUUCGCCGACGAUGUACUAUCCUGGUGAGAUGAGAUACAAAUAACUUCAUUGACAAUUGGGAAAUAAACAAUAACUUGGGGUUACCUUGGAACCCCGAUUGCGAAUAUCGUCACGAGUCACGACUCACAAGUAGAACACGGGACGCACCCUUUUGCCUCUUUUUAGCUUUGGUGGCAAGCACGACUGCUAGAUGCAGAGGCCUUCUUUUAUGGUGAUAAAUUGCCUACUUAACUCAGUGGUUAGAGUAUUGCCAUUAGGGUUUAGACGUCGUAGGUGUAGGAGUCCAAAUGAAAUCUAUUGGGCCUUUAUUGGACCCUUAGGGAAUCGCCGGCCCGAACUAUCAGCCUGCUAACAUUUACUCUGGCACAUUAAACUCGCGAACUACUUGUUUGCUCAUUAGUGUAUGGAGCCAAGCUAGUCCUGAGCCGAACGAACUAAUGAGUCCCGAGUUUUUUUGUCCAACUCUACACGUGAUGUGACCUUUUUUCGAUAAGGGAAGAUUUUAUUAAGGGCUACGCUAAGGACUCCAGUUACCUCCUAGGAGGUAAGAUCUCAAUUGAAUCUGAGCUACAAGAUUUUUAAGGAUAAAUCAAUUUAAAAUAUAUAAAAAAAUAGUAAAAUCUUGCAUGCAUGCACGUAGAUCUACACAUCAUGGAUGAUUCUUCAGGUAUAUCAUUUAUCCAUGGUCGACAUGAACCAUCUAUUUUCUAGUGGUGUGUAUAUAUAUGUAUCCUUUUUUAUCAAUGGAAUCAAUACGUGAUCAUCUAUUUCUCUCAUGAUUUCAAGAUUGACAAGAAAUUAGCAGAACCUGUGCAGUUGAAUGUCAUGAUAUUGAUCAAUUUAUCAAUCACAGAAUUAUAAAGCGACAUGAAUUCCCUUCAUACAUCAUGUUACGAUUACAUUCAAUUUUUUUGUAAGUAGUCACACCUUCAUGUUACGAUUACAUUCAUUGUUUUAUGUCAAAAUAAAAAGAAUGUGACAGGGAAAUUUAUUUUUUAAUACGAACAGCUGGGGCCAUAAUCACGUACAGAGGGAAGAAAUGUAGCAGCUUCACGUUCUUCUUUCUGUUGUCAUUUUUACCGGUUGGUAAAUCACGGGUGGGAAAAAACAACACAGCAGUUGUCAUGUUCUCUCUUUGUUUUUUUUUUAAAACGUACAGAUGGUCAUUAUCACGUCAGGGAAAAAACAGAUCUAAUCGCAUGGCAGUUAGAUCCAGUUCAGAUAUUUUUCUAUUUUUCGAUUUAAAAAAUACAUAUAAUAAAAAUCAAACCUAUUACUCCUUAGUAAUAGUAAUAUGUCAUUAGAUCAACGGUCCACGAUCAACUUUUUAUUAAUCAAGAUGGAGACGUGACGGACCUGGCUAUACGGCUGUUGGACCAUCCAUCACCAAGCAGAUUAUUCAACAGAGAAACUGUAGAGCACCUCACUCCUUGACCAUUGACUUUAUUAACGUCAAGAGGGUUUCCAUCAUUCUUCCAAGUUCCAAAGCACGUGAAAUACUAACGACGACCGCUGAGAAGGGGAUGCGAGUGUGACAUCGCCCAAGGUGACUCGGAACGGGACACCAAAACCUGCACUCUAACUGACCUUCUUAAAAAGGCCCCCGCGAGGUACUGCAAUCAACCAGCUGGAUCGUCGAGACGAACCUCAGCUUUCUGCUUGGUAGGAUUGUAUCUGCGCAUCAGCAAAUAAGCGAGUGGGCAUCAUGUUCGUCAGAGCACUGCAAUUGAUUGCCAGGUAGCCGGGGUCAGAAUUUGGUUACUUUUGAUUGAUGUUCGCUAGAACCUCUAAAAUACUUGAAUGGAUUCCCUGUCUUGCAGGGAGAAGAAGAGCGGGAUCGUUGCUCCAGGAUCCUUGGGCUUCGUCAAUGCCUUCUCCUCGGCUUCGGCCUCUCAGAGCCAGAGGUUCACUCUCGUGCACAACCUUCCUGUGCCAGUGCCAGUAGUGCUCUUUGAUUUCUUAAUCGUUCCUGGCUAACGGAGCAGCCCUCUUUACUGUGGGAUUGGUUUGUAGGCUGGCCGGAAAGGUCGCCGUCAUUACCGGGGGCGCGAGCGGCAUUGGCAAGGCGACCGCCACCGAGUUCGUCAAGAACGGCGCCAAGGUCGUGAUCGCCGACGUCCAGGACGACCUCGGCCACGCCGUUGCCGCGGAGCUCGGCCCGGACGCGGCGUGCUACACCCGCUGCGACGUCACCGACGAGGCGCAGGUCGCCGCGGCCGUGGACCUCGCGGUGGCCCGCCACGGGCAGCUCGACGUCAUGUUCAACAACGCCGGCAUCGGGGGCAACCCCGUGCCACCACCGCUCGGCGCCACGGACCUCGCCGACUUCGACCAGGUGAUGGCGACCAACGCCCGGGGCGUGCUGGCCGGGAUCAAGCACGCCGC
rnacentral:lncRNA from 1 species